rnacentral:antisense_RNA from 1 species
GCGCCCAGGCACCGCCUGCGCUGCGCCGCGCGGCCUCACUCCGCGGCCCGCCAGGACCCGGCCCCGGUGAACGGGCUCGGGGUGCCGAGGUCCGGCUGCGGGGCCGGGAAGCCACCUCCACCUUGCCGUCUGUUACGACCCCCGAGGCGCAAGGCUGAGCCCCAUCUCGCUAUCCGGGUCCGGAGGGGUUCACCUUAGAAGGAUUUUUUGAAGCUCUUGGCGCUGGCUCUAAAAGAACCCACUUCCUUGCGGAUUUCAGGAGUCAAGAAUCCUUAAACGGAGCCAAUUUGCUUUGUAAAGCCAAUUGCCCAAGUGACUUGAGUUCGAAAGGAGAUACUUCCUGGACAACUGCUAUAAAAACAACAACAAAUACUUUUAUUAAUUCGGGGAGCCUGGUCACCAACUGGAUGCUCAGGGGAGACGGAACCCUGAGCAGCCCAUGUACAUGGAAGAUCUUUAUUGCAGAGAUCUUUAAACCAGAUGGCUCGCAGAGAUUGAGGAACUUGCCCAAGGCUACGCAGCUUGAUCUUCUAAGGGUGUGAGGAUACAGGCGUCAAAGACCCCGUGCUGAGACAGCUCCAUAACAACAUGCAGAUAUUUGGCAAUGAGGAUUCAGAAGAGGACUUGCUGUGGAGAAGGGAGAAAAGAGGUGGGAAGACUCUGUGAAUGAAUAGAGAACACUCUGCAAGCAUCCCAGUUCCUUUGGUUGCCCUGCAGUCUGCAGGUACCAGGAAAA